GUAAAACAAAUAAAAAUUAUACGAACGUUCGAAUUAUAAUAGGACGUUUGUGUAAAAAAGCUUACACCAUGCAUAAGUAUUCUCCCUUUUUCCUCUAAAAAACACCUUUCCUACAACAUAACCCACCUUUUUUUCCCAUUUUAAAAGUUGCUUUUAUAGUUUUAUCACAGCCAUAAGCUGUAUCUCAGCUGAUCAUCAGGCCAAAUAAAAUGUUGCUGGUUAAGCAAAAUUUUGAUCAAAAGAUUUGACGAGCUAAAGGAGCAGCGGAUCCUCAUUUCGCCCAACUUGGAUUCAAGGACAGUACUACAUAUAGCAUAUAAUCUAAUAAUAUAUUUGUACAUUUGUACAUACUACAUAGCAUAUAAUCUUACAUAUUUUCAGUCAACUAAUAGAAGGUUCCACUUCAAUUUCCAAAAGCUGCAAAUGCCUGUCAUCAUCUAGCUUGCUGCAAUUAUUGUGAAAUCACUGAUGUUCCCCACGUUUAGAGUUGAGCUUCUCUUACCGAGUCAUGUAGCUGCAGAAAACAACCCUGGGAAGAAGCAUUUUCUACAUCUUCUCCAAAGCUACCGUCACUUCAAAAUCAAACAUCUUCGAUAGCCUAAUAUAUCUGUCGGUUUUGUUGUUCUGAUUGUUUGACUGAAAGCAUCUUUCAACUCUUGAUGACGAUUCUGAAAGGCAUGGGCUAAACUUCAUUUUCCUUUUACUGAAGUGGACAAAAAAUCAUUUUUCCUAACAGAUGGUUGCAGAUUCAUAGGUUACUCUGCAUCAUAUCCUCCGAGUCUGAAUCCAAGUCUACUGUCAUGUUUGCAUCCAGGGUAGAUGUGGAAACUGAAGCUACACUUACAGCUAGUUUUGACUUCUCAUUAUUGCCCAAAAAUGAAUGGCUUGGAAGAUUGAUUGAUGAUACAUUCUGUUCUACCUUGAUCUUUUUCUUUCCCUAAGAACCAACCCCGCAAAGCAGUUUAAUAUAAGGGGACAAAUAGUGGUUGGAAUAUAAAGAUUUACAAGGUAAUGUAAUUGUACAUUUCUCAAUAGAUAAUUUGGAUUAAAGAACCAGAAAAACUUGUAUGUGCGAAGGUUUAGCAAUAUAAUUUUAAAUUGUUUUACUUUAGGGGAAAAAACACUUUUUAUUAGCUCUGCAAGAGAGAUUUUGAUGAAAAACUAAUUGUUUUUCCAAAAUAAGCUAUUACUGAGAGCUAGAAUAAAAAUGAUAGCAAAAAAACAAAACCAAUCAGUUUAAAUCCUGAACUCAACAAAUAGGCAUCAUUAAAAAUAUUUGACAAACUCACCUUUUUGUCAGGAUAACCAUUCCCUUCUGAAGUUGAAUUUCCCAGCAGCGUUGCAUCGCAAGCAACAGUAGGCAUUUUUAGCGCCUGAACAUUUGUUCCAUUUUCCUGUCGACCAAUUAGCUAUAAUCAGAUUGAUGCUCCUUGUCAGAAAGUCAAAACAUUGAAAAAGUUUAUUUUUCAUUCUUUUAUUUUGUUGAGGCUACGUAGGAAGGAACACAAUUGAAACAAUUGGAAGGUUUAAUUAUGCAACCUUCACUGCAGAGGAAUUAGGGUCAGAAGAAAACAACGACUUCUCAGAGAUAUUAACACAGGUGGCAUUUUCAAUUCCAAUGCUUCCAUUUGCUGCACAUUCAUCCUUUAAGCUCAAGGAAGGAGAUUGGGGAGCUUCAGUUCCAUCCUCAACAGAUGCUACAUUUGACACCUAUAUCAUGAUUAUAUUUAUAUACCAUUUAUCAACAAGCAUCUUAACAUGUCUACAUAUUCUACAUAUAAAGCAGGUUGAGCUAAAAACAGUUAGAGAAGCAUUAACUGUGUUACAUUUGAAGCAACUAUGUGUUAGGAUGUACAAU
rnacentral:lncRNA from 1 species